rnacentral:lncRNA from 1 species
GGGGCCAUCUCUUCUUGUCCUACCUCUCCUGUCAACGCUUCCUCGGCCAAAUCACCGUACUCCGUAUAGUACCAUCAGGAAUUGAAUCAAUGGAAACCAUCUGGCCUUGGUACAUGUCUUGUUCGAUGUCAAAACCUAAGCCUUCUGGAGGAACUUUGGCCAGAUGAGUCAUCUGUCUCAGCGCCUUCUUGAAGCCCUUGGUGUGCUCCUGGCGAAUGGCCUCCAUCAUCUCUGCCUCGGUAUUCUUCC